rnacentral:rRNA from 1 species
UACGGGGGGUGCGAGCGUUGUCCGGAAUCACUGGGCGUAAAGGGCGCGUAGGUGGCAUGAUAAGCGUGCGGUGAAAGCUCGGAGCUCAACUCCGAGUCGGCCGUGCGAACUGGGCUCACUGGAGCAUAGUAGAGGCAGGUGGAAUUCCGGGUGUAGCGGUGGAAUGCGUAGAGAUCCGGAAGAACACCGGUGGCGAAAGGCGGCCUGCUGGGCUAUGGCUGACACUGAGGCGCGGACAGCGUGGGGAGCAAACAGG